rnacentral:tRNA from 1 species
GAGGGGAUAGCUCAGUGGUAGAGUGAGUGCUUAGCAUGCAUGAGGCCCUCGGUUCAAUCCCCAGUACCUCCA